UACAGAGGGUGCGAGCGUUAUUCGGAAUUACUGGGCGUAAAGCGCACGUAGGUGGCGUCGUAAGUCGGGUGUGAAAGCCCCGGGCUCAACCUGGGAAUUGCAUUCGAGACUGCAUUGCUGGAGUACGGAAGAGGAAGGCGGAAUUCCCGGUGUAGCGGUGAAAUGCGUAGAUAUCGGGAGGAACAUCGGUGGCGAAGGCGGCAUCCUGGACCGGUAUUGACGCUGAGGCGCGAAAGCCAGGGGAGCAAACGGG
rnacentral:rRNA from 1 species